rnacentral:rRNA from 1 species
AGAGUGAACGCUGGCGGCAGGCCUAACACAUGCAAGUCGAACGGCAGCGGGCAGUAGCAAUACUGUGCCGGCGAGUGGCGGACGGGUGAGGAAUACAUCGGAAUCUACCUUGUCGUGGGGGAUAACGUAGGGAAACUUACGCUAAUACCGCAUACGAACCAUGGUUGAAAGCGGCGGACCGCAAGGCGUCGCGCGAUUGGAUGAGCCGAUGUCCGAUUAGCUAGUUGGCGGGUAAAGGCCCACCAAGGCGACGAUCGGUAGCUGGUCUGAGAGGAUGAUCAGCCACACUGGAACUGAGACACGGUCCAGACUCCUACGGGAGGCAGCAGUGGGAAUAUUGGACAAUGGGGGCAACCUGAUCCAGCCAUGCCGCGUGUGUGAAGAAGGCCUUGGGUUCGUAAAGGCUACGUUUUGGUUGGGAAGAAAAGCGAACUGGGUUAAUACCUUGGUGUCAUGACGGUACCCAAAGAAUAAGACACCGGCUAACUCGU